rnacentral:rRNA from 1 species
UUCGGUGACUAUCGCGUCUGGGUCACACCCGUUCCCAUCCCGAACACGGAAGUUAAGCCAGACUGCGCCGAUGGUACUUGGGUGGAUUCGCCCUGGGAGAGUAGGUCGUCGCCGGAU